rnacentral:rRNA from 1 species
UACGUAGGUCCCGAGCGUUGUCCGGAUUUAUUGGGCGUAAAGCGAGCGCAGGUGGUUUAUUAAGUCUGGUGUAAAAGGCAGUGGCUCAACCAUUGUAUGCAUUGGAAACUGGUAGACUUGAGUGCAGGAGAGGUAAGCGGAAUUCCUAGUGUAGCGGUGAAAUGCGUAGAUAUUAGGAGGAACACCAGUGGCGAAGGCGGCUUACUGGACGGCAACUGACGCUGAGGCUCGAAAGCGUGGGGAGCAAACAGG